UCGCGCCUGCGCGCAGCCUGAUCCAGCCAUGCCGCGUGGGGAGAGGCCUUCGGGUUGGAAGCUGCUUUUGCGGGGAAGAAAACGCCGGUUUGCGAAGGAGAGGGACCGGACAAUUCCAAGAAAGCACGGGUAACUAUGUGCCAGCCGCCGCGGUAAUAUAAUAAA
rnacentral:rRNA from 1 species